AAAAAAGAAAAGAAAAAAGAAAGAAAGAAAGAAAGAAAGAAAGAAAGAAAGAAAGAAAGAAAGAAAGAAAGAAAGAAAGAAAGAAAGAAAGAAAGAAAGAAAGAAAGAAAGAAAGAAAGAAAGAAAGAAAGAAAGAAAGAAAGAAAGAAAGAAAGAAAGAAAGAAAGAAAGAAAGAAAGAAAGAAAGAAAGAAAGAGGGAGGGAGGGAGGGAGGGAGAGAGGGAGAGAGGGAGGGAGGAAGAAAGAAAGAAAGAAAGAAAAAGAAAGAAAGAAAGAAAGAAAGAAAGAAAGAAAGACAGAAAGCACCGACCGACAGAACGCACGCACGCACGGAACGAUA
rnacentral:lncRNA from 1 species